UACGUAGGGGGCGAGCGUUGUCCGGAUUCAUUGGGCGUAAAGAGCUCGUAGGCGGCUUGGCAAGUCGGGUGUGAAAACUUCAGGCUCAACCUGGAGCGGCCACUCGAUACUGCCAUGGCUUGAGUCCGGUAGGGGACCACGGAAUUCCUGGUGUAGCGGUGAAAUGCGCAGAUAUCGUAAGGAAGACCAGUGGCGAAGGCGGGUCUCUGGACAGUUCCUGACGCUGAGGCACGAAGGUCAGGGGAGCAAACGGG
rnacentral:rRNA from 1 species